UUGAAACAUUGUAAAGGAGAGUUGAGCUGGUCCUUCAAGGACAAGUGCUUGCUUUUCUUUCAAUAUUCAUCCACCUGUGCACUUUUUGUAGAGAGUUUCUAAGAAAACGGGCCUUAAUUGGCCUCGAGUAUUGGGCUCUCUAUGUCUUUUACAAACCCUUAAUGUAUGUCAUUGAAUGUCUUUUACAAAGGGGGACUUAGUUGAACCCUUUUAUAAAAACAAUA
rnacentral:misc_RNA from 1 species